AACUAAGUUAGUUAUUGGCAUGGUCUUUUGUGUGCACGCACACUUCUUCAGAUACACUGAAACAGAAGUCAGUGUAUCUGAAGAAGUGCACAUGCACACGAAAGCUCAUACCAAUAACAAAUGUAGUUGG